AUUGAACGCUGGCGGCAGGCCUAACACAUGCAAGUCGAACGAGUGGCGGACGGGUGAGUAAUGUCUGGGCAUCUGCCUGAUGGCGGGGGAUAACUACUGGAAACGGUUGCUAAUACCGCAUACCAUCAGAUGUGCCCAGAUGGGAUUAGCUUGUUGGUGGGGUAACGGGUCACCAAGGCGACGAUCCCUAGCUGGUCUGAGAGGAUGACCAGGCACACUGGAACUGAGACACGGUCCAGAAGCCUACGGGAGGGAGCAGUGGGGAAUAUUGGACAAGGGGCGAAAGCCUGAUGCAGCCAUGCCGCGUGUAUGAAGAAGGCGGGCGGGUUGUAAAGGACUUUCAGCGGGGAGGCGUUACCCGAAGAAGAAGCACCGGCUAACUCCGUGCCAGCAGCCGCGGUAAUUC
rnacentral:rRNA from 1 species